rnacentral:rRNA from 1 species
AAUACCGAAUACACCCUGCUGGCUGCAUGGCCUGGUGGGGGAAAGCUUUUGCGGUGUGGGAUGGGCCCGCGGCCUAUCAGCUUGUUGGUGAGGUUACGGCUCACCAAGGCGACGACGGGUAGCCGGCCUGAGAGGGUGACCGGCCACACUGGGACUGAGAUACGGCCCAGACUCCUACGGGAGGCAGCAGUGGGGAAUAUUGCACAAUGGGCGCAAGCCUGAUGCAGCGACGCCGCGUGAGGGAUGACGGCCUUCGGGUUGUAAACCUCUUUCACCAGGGACGAAGCGCAAGUGACGGUACCUACAGAAGAAGGACCGGCCAACUACGUGCCAGCAGCCGCGGUAAU